CUAGCGAUAGGCCUAACACAUGCAAGUCGAGGGGCAGCAUAGGGUAGCAAUACUUUGAUGGCGACCGGCGCACGGGUGAGUAACGCGUAUGCAACCUACCUAUAACAGGGGAAUAAGCCCGGAGAAAUUCGGACUAAUACCGCAUAAAACAGGGGCUCCGCAUGGUGAUAUUUGUUAAAGAUUUAUCGGUUAUAGAUGGGCAUGCGUUCCAUUAGCCAGUUGGUGAGGUAACGGCUCACCAAAGCAACGAUGGAUAGGGGUUCUGAGAGGUUUGUCCCCCACACUGGAACUGAGACACGGACCAGACUCCUACGGGAGGCAGCAGUGAGGAAUAUUGGUCAAUGGGCGAGAGCCUGAACCAGCCAAAUCGCGUGAAGGAAGACUGCCUUAUGGGUUGUAAACUUCUUUUAUACAGGAAUAAAAAGAUUACGUGUAACUUAUUGCAAGUACAGUACGAAUAAGCAUCGGCUAACUCCGUGCCAGCAGCCGCGGUAAUACGGAGGAUGCGAGCGUUAUCCGGAUUUAUUGGGUUUAAAGGGUGCGCAGGCGGGAACUUAAGUCAGCGGUGAAAUCUCGACGCUUAACGUCGAAACUGCCGUUGAAACUGGGUUUCUUGAGUAUAGAUGAAGUAGGCGGAAUUCGUUGUGUAGCGGUGACAUGCUUAGAUAUAACGAGGAACUCCGAUUGCGUAGGCAGCUUACUAAGCUAUAACUGACGCUGAAGCACGAAAGCGUGGGGAUCAAACAGGAUUAGAUACCCUGGUAGUCCACGCCGUAAACGAUGAUUACUAGUUGUAUGCGAUAUACCGUAUGUGACUAAGCGAAAGCGAUAAGUAAUCCACCUGGGGAGUACGCCGGCAACGGUGAAACUCAAAGGAAUUGACGGGG
rnacentral:rRNA from 1 species